GCUAAAGUUAAGUAGUUUAAGUUGUGUGCAAGUGGUAGGAGAGCGUUCUAUUUGCGUCGAAGGUAUACCGGUAAGGAGUGCUGGAGCGAAUAGAAGUGAGCAUGCAGGCAUGAGUAGCGAUAAUUAAUGUGAGAAUCAUUAACGCCGUAAACCCAAGGUUUCCUACGCGAUGCUCGUCAUCGUAGGGUUAGUCGGGUCCUAAGUCGAGUCCGAAAGGGGUAGACGAUGGCAAAUUGGUUAAUAUUCCAAUACCAACAUUAGUGUGCGAUGGAAGGACGCUUAGGGCUAAGGGGGCUAGCGGAUGGAAGUGCUAGUCUAAGGUUGUAGGAGGUUAUACAGGCAAAUCCGUAUAACAAUACUCCGAGAACUGAAAGGCUUUUUGAAGUCUUCGGAUGGAUAGAAGAACCCCUGAUGCCGUCGAGCCAAGAAAAGUUUCUAAGUUUAGCUAAUGUUGCCCGUACCGUAAACCGACACAGGUGGGUGGGAUGAGUAUUCUAAGGCGCGUGGAAGAACUCUCUUUAAGGAACUCUGCAAAAUAGCACCGUAUCUUCGGUAUAAGGUGUGGUUAGCUUCGUACUAGGAUUUACUCCGAAAGCGAAGAAACUUACAACAAAGAGUCCCUCCCGACUGUUUACCAAAAACACAGCACUCUGCUAACUCGUAAGAGGAUGUAUAGGGUGUGACGCCUGCCCGGUGCUCGAAGGUUAAUUGAUGGGGUUAGCAUUAGCGAAGCUCUUGAUCGAAGCCCGAGUAAACGGCGGCCGUAACUAUAACGGUCCUAAGGUAGCGAAAUUCCUUGUCGGUUAAAUACCGACCUGCAUGAAUGGCGUAACGAGAUGGGAGCUGUCUCAAAGAGGGAUCCAGUGAAAUUGUAGUGGAGGUGAAAAUUCCUCCUACCCGCGGCAAGACGGAAAGACCCCGUGGACCUUUACUACAGCUUGACACUGCUACUUGGAUAAGAAUGUGCAGGAUAGGUGGGAGGCUUUGAGUAUAUGACGCCAGUUGUAUAUGAGCCAUUGUUGAGAUACCACUCUUUCUUAUUUGGGUAGCUAACCAGCUUGAGUUAUCCUCAAGUGGGACAAUGUCUGGUGGGUAGUUUGACUGGGGCGGUCGCCUCCCAAAUAAUAACGGAGGCUUACAAAGGUUGGCUCAGAACGGUUGGAAAUCGUUCGUAGAGUAUAAAGGUAUAAGCCAGCUUAACUGCAAGACAUACAAGUCAAGCAGAGACGAAAGUCGGUCUUAGUGAUCCGGUGGUUCUGUGUGGAAGGGCCAUCGCUCAAAGGAUAAAAGGUACCCCGGGGAUAACAGGCUGAUCUCCCCCAAGAGCUCACAUCGACGGGGAGGUUUGGCACCUCGAUGUCGGCUCAUCGCAUCCUGGGGCUGGAGCAGGUCCCAAGGGUAUGGCUGUUCGCCAUUUAAAGCGGUACGCGAGCUGGGUUCAGAACGUCGUGAGACAGUUCGGUCCCUAUCUGCCGUGGGCGUAAGAAGAUUGAAGAGAUUUGACCCUAGUACGAGAGGACCGGGUUGAACAAACCACUGGUGUAGCUGUUGUUCUGCCAAGAGCAUCGCAGCGUAGCUAAGUUUGGAAAGGAUAAACGCUGAAAGCAUCUAAGCGUGAAGCCAACUCUAAGAUGAAUCUUCUCUAAGCUCUCUAGAAGACUACUAGUUUGAUAGGCUGGGUGUGUAAUGGAUGAAAGUCCUUUAGCUGACCAGUACUAAUAGAGCGUUUGGCUUAUCUUU
rnacentral:rRNA from 1 species